GACAGAGGAUGCAAGCGUUAUCCGGAAUUACUGGGCGUAAAGCGCACGCAGGUGGCUGAGUCAGUCGAUUGUGAAAGCCCUGGGCUUAACCUGGGAAUUGCAGUCGAUACUACUCAGCUAGAGUAUGGGAGAGGGCAGUGGAAUUCCCGGUGUAGCGGUGAAAUGCGUAGAUAUCGGGAGGAACAUCAGUGGCGAAGGCGGCUGCCUGGCCCAAUACUGACACUCAGGUGCGACAGCGUGGGGAGCAAACAGG
rnacentral:rRNA from 1 species